rfam:Sporosarcina sp. HYO08 scaffold_4, whole genome shotgun sequence.
UAAAUAGAUUCAUUUGUACCGUAGACAGUAGGAGCGGCGUGCCGCUUAAUAUUCCUGCCGAGGACAAGACGCUCUUUUAUUAAAGAUGACGACUUAUUCUGCCCUCGUGCCUACUUCGUAGAACGAGGGCUUUUUAUAUCGGUAU